GCCAGCGUAGCUCAGUUGGUAGAGCAGCUGAUUUGUAAUCAGCCGGUCGCGGGUUCGAAUCCCUCCGCUGGCUC
rnacentral:tRNA from 1 species